rnacentral:lncRNA from 1 species
ACUAUUAAACAAUCAGUUUUCUCCUCCACUCGCACUAAAUAUCAAGAAUAACGGGAACGAUAAAGUAAAUGGUUCCUGAUGCAUUCAUAUUUCAACAAAGUGAACACUCUCCUAUUGAUGAACAACCUACACACGAUUACCAACAUUAAAACCCAACAAAAUUGCGCAAAGAUCUAAUGUUAUUGUAUAACACCUGUCAACAAUCAUACAAAAUUUUGAGACACACCCUUGGAUGUGUGAACCACUGCGAAAUGUUAUUCAACGUGCUGCUUGAAAAGUAUUUUCCAAGAUAGAAUUUUUGCCUCUUUAACCAUCUUCACAAUAGUUAUUUCCUCAUUUUGAAAAGUAUUUUAGUUUUUGGCGUCCCAUAUUGUCCCCACACACAUGAACCAUAACAUCACAUUCUUCUAAGGCGACUGACUACCUCUGCUCAACAGCCAUUCAAACUGCAAUAAAUGUUGUCAACAUUCAUUAUGCAUAGCAGUAGACACUCCCAGCCAUUAA